GCUAUGCGCGCGAAGUGCAGGAUGAGAAGCUGCUGCAGGUUUGACUGAAUCGCCGGGAGCGAUUCAGGCUGAUGCUUCAGCAUCACCCGAAGGGCGAGGCCCCGGAUGGGCCGAGGCAUAUCCUGCACGACCCACCA
rnacentral:sRNA from 1 species